AGGACGAACGCUGGCGGCGUGCUUAACACAUGCAAGUCGAACGGAAAGGCCCUUCGGGGUACUCGAGUGGCGAACGGGUGAGUAACACGUGGGUGAUCUGCCCCGCACUUUGGGAUAAGCCUGGGAAACUGGGUCUAAUACCGAAUAGGACCAUGGCAUGCAUGUGCUGUGGUGGAAAGCUUUUGCGGUGUGGGAUGGGCCCGCGGCCUAUCAGCUUGUUGGUGGGGUUAAGGCCUACCAAGGCGACGACGGGUAGCCGGCCUGAGAGGGUGUCCGGCCACACUGGGACUGAGAUACGGCCCAGACUCCUACGGGAGGCAGCAGUGGGGAAUAUUGCACAAUGGGCGCAAGCCUGAUGCAGCGACGCCGCGUGGGGGAUGACGGCCUUCGGGUUGUAAACCCUUCAGUAGGGACGAAGCGCAAGUGACGGUACCUACAGAAGAAGCACCGGCCAACUACGUGCCAGCAGCCGC
rnacentral:rRNA from 1 species